UACUAACGAGAAUCAGUGAGCCACCGC
rnacentral:piRNA from 1 species